CUUUUUUUGUGAUUUUAAUAUCACUUCCAAUGUCUCCCCACCCACCCCCAGCCAUUCAGCCUUUCUAAUGUGACAGUCACUUUCUAGUGUGACAUCACUAUGAGUCACUUGCCUUUCUGGGGAUCUUGUCACCAUGGCCAUUCAUACCACCAGCCCACUUAUCCUCUCUGGGUCCUCAUCUUACGGUGACACCAAUAUCCAACAACUGUUAUGAGAAGUCCUCUGUUCACAGGCUUUACACAACCAGGCACAGAGCAUUCCUCUUUCUUCUGUGAAGUUCACAUUCAGCAAGGCACGACCUUAAAUGAAAAAUCAACUAUGUGGGGCAGAACAAACUCCGAGAGCAUGGUGAAGACUUAGCAAGCAGCACUGACUGGAGAACGACUUAGCAGGCACCGGCAUAGCAAAGGGUAACUUCUUGGGCAUGAGAAACACAGCUAUCGUCUGAUCACGUGACCCCCGAGACGCUGGGAAGACGGACUGGAUGCGUGUAGACCACUGGUUUCCCCUCAUGCUCUCCCCAUGCUUCAGUCCUUGGACAGCUCUGAACCCUUUCCUCAGGGAGGAGCAUUUGCCCUCCGGUGACUCCGGUACCUUGGCCACUCCGUGAAUGGGUUUCUCUCACAGACCUUGCUCCUGUGGCUGACAAAAUGGGUCUGGUUCCACAAGGCUAACUCCACGACAAGUAAACACUAUGGAUUGUUUCCACUUCCCUCUCUCUGGUUUGUUUGUUUCUGCUUUUAAACUUAAAUUUGAGACAGGGUAGCUGUGUGAUGCCUCCAUUUCAGAAACAAUAUCUGGAUUGAAGGCCACCAGGGACACAAAGACGGGAGAGAAGGUGAAAUCUCAGAGGUGUGGUGGUCAGAGUCCUGUAAAUCUUGAGGUUAAUCUUCCGAACCAGAGUUCAGCUCACAGCACCCCCAUCAAGUGGCUCAUGAUUGCCUGAAACCUGGAUCUCGGGGAUCCAGCUCCCUCUUCUGGCCCCCAUAAGCACCUGCACACGAAUAGGUGUGUUUCUCUCUCUCUCUCUCUCUCUCUCUCUCUCUCUCUCUCUCUCUCUCUCUCNNNNNNNNNNACACACACACACACACACACACACACACACACACCACUCCCAAAUAAAGUUUUUUUUUAAUAGAAAGAAUGCA
rnacentral:lncRNA from 1 species